CAGUGACAUUCUCUAUCAGUUGUAUGCAGUAUUGUGGUAGCCAUGUGGGUCCCAGGAUAUUAGAGAGACAAGGUGAGUGAGGUAGUAUCUUUUAUUGUGCC